UGCUGCCCCCUCCCUCUGGAGUGUCUUCCCUGGGACCCCCUCAGGCUCACUCCCUCACUCCUGGUUUUAUCUCCAGUGUCACCUGCUCAGUGGGGCCUUUCUUUCUCUGCCACGCUGGCCACCUCUCCUGACCUCUUCUCACGCUGGCCUUCGUCUUUCUCCUCAUUUCCCAAAAGCUGUUUAUUUGCUGUCUGCUUCCCUGUCUAGGACGUGAGUCUGGUAAGGGCUGGAAUUGUGUUUUGCUCGCAAUUGUUAUAUCCAAAGAGCCUAAAACAGAAGCAGGCAGGUGCUUGGAAAGAACUCGUUAAAUCAUUAACAGAUCUUCAGGAUUAAUUUUUUUUUUUUUUUUGAGUCAAGAUCAUGCUAUGUAGCCCAGGCUCCCCUGGGACUCUCGAUUCUCCUGCUUCAGCCUCUGCUGUGCCGGAACUGCAGGUGCAUACCUUUACGCCUGGCUGAGAUGAAGUUUUGAAAGAAUAAGUGAAGGGUGGAGCAGAUAUUGUGAAUGUUACUUCCUAGGCCCGGCUGACUCAGGUUCUCAGUGACUGGGUCCUGAAAGUGUAAAUAAAAGAAGAAAGAAGGCUGGGAACACACCCAUAGUCCCAGCGCUUGGGAGGCUGAGGCAGAAACUGCCAUGAGUCGGAGGUUGGCCUGGGCCACAAGUGAGAUCCUGUCUUGGGGAGGAAAAAAGAGAAGGAAAAAGAAGAGAAAAGGAAGACAAGGAAAGGAGAAGAAGGGAUGCAGGCUGGGAGAGGAAGCGUCCCUUUCCCUUCAGCACAUCUGCCUGGUGGCAUCCUGGUGCUGUAAGUGGCCGGUCCACCCAGACCGCAUCCCCUGGGCCUGCCUGGCAGGAGCCCUGGGCCUGGCUAACUGGUAAGCCUGGUCUCUAUCCCACCCCUGACCACAACAGCAGACCUGUUUCUGCUUGUUCUGUUUUUUUGUUGUCAGUUUUAUUGUGAAACAAUACAUAUGCCCCCCUAGCAUGGUAAGUGCAUGGUUUGAUGAAUUUUUGGAGUAAAAGCCACCCAUGUGAGAAGCACCCAGAACAAGAAAGAGGUUGUAACCAAACCCCACCUUGACUCUCUUCAGCUCCUAGGACCCCCAAGGGUGACCGUUAUUCUAUCACAAUUCAUUUUCCUGACUUUAUUUCACAUACUUAUUGUCAUAUAAUACAUACUCUUUUGUACCAAA